rnacentral:rRNA from 1 species
UGAGGAAUUUUGCGCAAUGGGAGCAAUCCUGACGCAGCAACGCCGCGUGGGUGAUGAAGGCCUUCGGGUCGUAAAGCCCUGUCAGGUGGGAAGAAUGUCCCGGGCCUGAACAGGUUCCGGGAGUGACGGUACCACCAGAGGAAGCACCGGCUAACUCCGUGCCAGCAGCCGCGGUAAUACGGCUGGUGCAAGCGUUAUUCGGAAUUACUUGGCGUAAAGCGCGUGUAGGCGGUCCUGCAAGUCUGAUGUGAAAGCCCCGGGCUUAACCCGGGAAGUGCAUUGGAAACUGUGGGACUUGAGUACUGGAGAGGAUGGGGGAAUUCCCGGUGUAGAGGUGAAAUUCGUAGAGAUCGGGAGGAAUAUCAGUGGCGAAGGCGCCCAUCUGGACGGUAACUGACGCUGAGACGCGAAAGCGUGGGGAGCAAACA